GAUGAACGCUGGCGGCGUGCCUAAUACAUGCAAGUCGAGCGAACAGAUGAGGAGAUUGCUCCUCUGACGUUAGCGGCGGAAGGGUGAGUAACACGUGGAUAACCUACAUAUAAGACUGGGAUAAAUUCGGGAAACCGGAGCUAAUAUCGGUUAAUAUAUUGUACCGUAUGGUUCAAUAGUGAAAGAAGGUUUUGCUGUCACUUAUAGAUGGAUCCGCGUCGCAUUAGCUAGUUGGUAAGGUAACGGAUUACCAAAGCAACGAUGCGUAGACGACCUGAGAGGAGGGUCCGACACGCCAGAAGUGAACUGAGGUCCAGACUCCUAUCGGAGGCGAGGGAGGGGUAAGGACCACUAGGGGCGGAAGGCUGACGUGACCACGCCGCGUGGGGUGAAGGAGGAUUCUGAUCGGGAUACUAUGUUAUUAGGGAAGAACAAAUGUGUAAGUAACUAUGCACGUCUUGACGGUACCUAAGCAGAAAGCCACGGCUAACUACGUG
rnacentral:rRNA from 1 species